rnacentral:lncRNA from 1 species
UAACAAUAAACCAAUUCCAAUGAGAUUCAUUAAGAGAAGUAAUGAUAAUACAACUGUGUUUUUAUACAAAAAAUUCCCAAGGACUGGUAGUACGAAUCAUGAGCUUCUAAGAUUUAGAGUUUACAAAGCCGGUAUAAAAUAAAUACAUCAUCUGUUUGAAAUAUACAUGAACAGAUUAAUAAUUCUAAAGCUACAAAGAACAAAAGGCAGAAAUGACCAGAACGCAGGUACGUCUUCAAUGCCACUCCCUCCAUACACAGCAACAUCAACAUCAAAAAUCUGCACGCAAGGUGCAGAAGUGUAGUAUGAGUACAACCGACCCCAUGUACUCAAUAAGUAACAAACCUAACCUUAGUUUGAAAGUAGUGACGAGUUGGGACAAAGGUUGAAGUCCAAGACCAAUAGCCUACAACAGUUUAUAACAAUAUAAUAAAAGUGAUAAAAGAAAUAACUCAGAGAUAUGAUGCUCAGCUCAUUCACAGUUAAGGAAAAUAGUCAUGUUUUUCAUGUAUAAGGAAGAAACUCCAACUGAAGAGAAUCCAGAACCAUGAUGGUAACUGGAUUGAGUCGCAAGAACGAAUGGCUGACGCAGCAUUCGAAUUUUUUUAAAAACAGUUCACACAAGAAGCUGAUCAUACAAGGUCUGAGCUCCUUAACAAUGUACCCUCAAUGGUGUCUUGUGAUCAAAACAUAGAACUUUGUAGAAUUCCUACAAUAGAGGAGGUAAAGGCAGCGGUUUUUGCACUGAGCGGUGAAAGUGAAAGUGGGCAGAUGGUCUCACAGGCAUUUUCUUUCAAGAAUGUUGGGAUAUAAUAGGGGAAGACAUACAUGCGAUGCUGAAACUAUUUUAUGGAAGAAGUUCCUUACCUAAGUCACCCACACAAAUCUUGUCUUGCUACCAAAAAAAUAACAGGUUCAAACAUUUAACGACCUAAGGCCUAUUAGCUUAAGCAAUUUUGUAAAUAAAGUUAUCUCCAGAGUUGUUCAUGAUAGGCUGGAAAAAAUACUGCCUUCUUUGAUCUCUUCUAAUCAGUCAGGAUUUGUCAAAGGGAGAAGUAUAUUUGAAAACAUUCUGUUAACACAAGAGAUUGUUACUGACAUAAGAUUAAGGGGAAAACCUGCUAAUGUAGUUAUCAAACUUGACAUAGCAAAGGCUUAUGAUAGGGUCUCAUAGAAGUAUCAAAUGCAUGUUUUGAGGAAAAUGGGAUUUGCAGAAUGCUUCAUCAACAUGAUAAGGAAUUUAAUUUCUAACAAUUGGUAUUCUGUUCUGAUUAAUGGUCAAGCAUCAGGAUUCUUUCACUCAACAAGAGGGGUCAAGCAAGGAGAUCCUCUCUCCAGCCCUGUUCAUUCUCUCUUCAGAGGUUCUGUCUAGAUCGUAAAUAAACUAUUUGAAGACACGAGAUUCAAGGGCUUUGGGAUGCCUAAAUGGACUGAUCCAUUAAAUCAUUGGCAUAUGCAGACGAUACUAUAAUCUUUUCCUCUGCUGACCCAUACUCUUUAAGGAAAAUUGUAGAAGUUUUGUCCAAGUAUGAGCACACCUCAGGCCAAAUGAUCAUGGUGGAAUGCAAAGUGAUGUCCUAAACUAAUGCCAUUAUAUCAGGUAGCUCCAACUUUAAUCACAUGGGAACUUUGGAAGAGGAGAAAUAUGAUGAAGUAUGGUGGUGCAAUUUCUUGCAAUAGGGUGAUUCAUGAAGUGAAUAAGACUUUAUAUUAUCUAGCAAGGAUGAGGUACCCAUGGCUGUCCAGAAUUCCUCCUCUAUGGUCAGAUAUGAUCAGCUUCUUUGAAGGCUACAAGCCAUAUGUGGGGACUAAGACAGUUACCUGGCAGCUUCCUUAUAAAGGGUGGUUCAAAUGCAAAACUGAUAGUGCAUCAAGAGGCAAUACUGGUCCAAGCUCAUAAGGGUUUUGUGUUCGAGAUCAUGCUGGCGAUUUAGUGUUUGCGAAAGCACAGGAGAUAGGAGAGACAACUAACUUAGUGGCAGAAGCAAAGGUAAUUGUGGAGGGGUUGGAAUACUCUGUGGAAAAGCAACUACAUCCACUGAUUAUGGAGACUGAUUCCUUAGUAAUGAGGAAGUUAAUUGAUGGCGAAUGGGCAACUCCUUGGUGCAUAGGUGCUGAAGUAAGGAAGAUCAAGCAUAUAAAGAACAACUAUAAUGUUGUCUUUCAACAUUUACUAAGGGAAGGGAACAUUGUUGCUGACUUUUUUGCUAACCUAGCUUUCACUUUUACAGGUACACACACAUUUCAGUCAUUUAAUGAAUUGCCAAGUGCAGGAAAAAAACUGAUCAACAUGGACAAAUAACAAAUUCCUAACCUUCGGAUUAGGAUUGUGAAGAGAAGAGAACCUGAUUAAUGAGAUCAACAUAUAAAACCUUGCCUUGUUUCUUAGAAAUUAUGGUGUCUCAACAAUACAUGCAAGAUCUCAAAGAAAAGUAGGCUAGUAAAACUCCACCAACUAGCAUUCCUAAUCAUGCAGUUGUUCUCACUUGUAUGGUGUACAUACUUGGUUGGUUAUAAUUAUAGCUAGCAUUGCACAACACCAGACUAUAGGGGAUCUGUUGCAACCUCCUGUAAAUGCUUGGCAGCAGAUACCAAAGACCUGCACUGCCUCUACAAAGUUAUAGUGGUGUGAUUAUUUUUUUUGUCUCUCUUACUUUACUGGGCUAUACACCAGUUGAAGAGUGUAGAUGCUUGAAUAGUGUAAGCUAACUGAGGCAAUAUCAUUGUCAAAUUUUUUUUGCACUUCUCCAGGGUUUUAAACAGAUUUCUGUUGUGACCAUUUUGCUCUCAACAAUAUGUUGGCAUGAGGUUAUAACAAAUGUUGAAUCUGCAGGUCAAAUACAUGCCAACUGAAGGGUGUAGAUGCAAUAAUCUGGGAGCACAGACACAUUUCAUAAACUUGUUCGCUACGUUUUGCAGGAUAACAAGAUCAGAAAACUGAGGCAAAGACUAGUCUCAUACAGAUACCAAAGGAUGCCAUAUUUGCUUGGUUAUAAUUGUUUUAUCUCACUCUACUGGUCUUACAUACAUAAUGCUUGAAGGGUGUAGAUACCUGAGUAGUGGUGACUGUAAUAAGCCUGGCUACAGCAUAAUGCUCAACCAGCACUGCUUCUGCAUAGAAGACAAUCAAGAACUAAUUAGCCUUCAGCAGAACCAGUAUUACUAUGCCAAUUGGAGUUGCCAAUACUUAGUGCUAUGUGGGAAUGACUUGAAGAUAACCAACAAGAGAGUCACAAUCCAGCACCAACAACAUCCCUCAUCAUCAUCAAAAUUAUCAGCACACACAAAUCCUGGGAGCAUAAUUUUACACCCUAACUUGGUUGUUUCAUGUUGCAGGUAUCAAUAACAGGAUCAGAAAACUGAGGCAAAGAAUAGAGGCUCAACCUGCACUGCUUUUGCACAGAGAACAAUCACAAAAUUGAUUGGUCUUCAAUGUCUGGCUGCAAGUUGAAGUUGCCACUGCCUUUUGCUAUGUGGGAAUGAUUUAAAAUGUUUGCUGCUUCCCAGAGGAUAACAAGAUCAGAAAACUAAGGCAAAGACUACUUUCAUACAGAUAUCAAAGGAUGCCAUAUUUGUUUGGUUAUAGCUGUCUUCUCUCAAUCUACUGGGCUUACAUACACAAUGCUUGAAGGGUGUAGAUACUUGAGUAAUGGUGACUGUAACAUGCCUGGCUACAGCAGAAUGCUCAACCAGAACUGCUACUACACAGAAGACAAUUAAGAAUUGAUUAGUCUUCAGCAGAACCAGUAUUACUAUGCCAAUUGGAGUUGCCAAUACUUAGUGCUAUAUGGGAAUGACUUGAAGAUAACCAACAAGAGAAUCACAAUCCAACACCAACAACAGCCCGCAUCAAUCAAAGUUAUCAACACACACAGAUCCUGGGAGCACAAUUUUGCAUCCUAACUUGGUUGCUUCAUGUUGCAGGUAUCAAUAACCGGAUCAGAAAACUGAGGCAAAAAAUAGAGGCUCAACCUGCACUACUUUUGCACAAAAGUCUAUCACAAAAAUGAUUGGUCUUCAGCAUAAUCAGUACUGAUGUUGCAAUGUCUGGAUACUAGUUGAAGUUGCCACUAAGUUUUGCUAUGUGGGAAUGAUUUAAAGAUAACCAAUAAGAGCAUCACAAACAAGCACCAACAACAACCUUUCUUCACCAUUCACCACCCAGUCAUCUUCGAAGUUUUCAACACACACAGGAACCUGAGAGCACAACACUACAUCCUAACUUGUUUGCUUUAUCUUGCAGAGUUCAUAGACAGGAUAAGACUGCUUUGGAAAGUAUACAGAGGGGCGUUGGCAGUACAAAUAAUCAGUAGAAUACUGGUUCAACACAACAUAUGUUUGCUGCUCCUCUGAAAACUUUUAAUGCCUAUUGGUGCUAGCAUCAACUCCCAGAGGUAUUAGCAUAUUGCAAUGCUCAUUAUGGGAGUCUCUCAGCACAUUACAACAACCAAAUAUCAGCAACACAGAUGACAACACAAUCAUGCUACAUAGAUUAUUUUCAAUCUGAUUAAAGUGGUCAACAAUUUGCUAUACAUACACAGAAACAACACAGAUAUCAGUACAAGUCAAGAUCAAAAAAAUGGAAUCUAUCCUGCUAUACAUCAUAAGCAAUUUGACUUGGACAUCAAUCAUAUGCACAUACACAGACAGUUAUCACAUGGCCUGAGCUUGACUACUAUGUAUUACUUGUGUGAUGUUAGACCAUCUCUCAGUGGUAUUAGCAUGUUAUCAUGCUCAGUCUGGGGGUGGUGUAACACUAUACAGAACCAUGGAGUCAAGCAGCCAUCUCAGUGAUAUGAAUUAUACUAAAUGUGAUUGCAUUUAUACACACUAUAUGGAUGCACAUGACAACCUCUUUGUGUAUUAUUUAUUGGAACUGGUAUAUCAAACUGAGGAUACCUACUCACAUGAAAUACAAGGAAAACUAUUGCUUACAUCUAUUUUUGGGUAUUGACAGUAUAGUGUCAUAUCAUUAUCCAGUGGUAUUAGUGUGCAUGCAUGCUCAAUCUGGAGAUGAAAAGACACUAUAUUGUCUUCAUAUAUCAAGCUGGCAGCUCUGUCUCUAGUAAGUUUUCAUCUCAAAUUCAUGCUCAAUGUAUCAAAAAUGAUGCUGGAAUUUUCAGCCCCAAGAACACAAUGUCCAAAAUGCUUUGCUAGACAACUACUGGAUUUAAACAUACCUACUCCUUGGAUUGUAACAAAUGACGUCUGGUGAGAGCUUUGUAGGUGUUACAACAAAUUGUUGGCAACUGGUGUGUACAUUCACAAUCGUUGGCAAUACUUGGAUGCUUCAAAUUACUAGCCUUGUAGUUUUCAUAGUUUAUUACGUUACUUCUACUUUGCUUUGUUGGUAGGUAAUUUAAACAUUUUGUAAUUUUUACCCAGUUGGGGAUUUAUUAUAUAUAAUAGCUACUAGGGUAAUAACCUAGUAGUAUAUUUGCUAAAAAAAUAGGAAAACCCCAAUCCUUCACCGAAAUCACCAAAAUAUGAGUAAGUCAGAAACCUUUGAUUUUUCCCAAAAACUUUCAACAACAGAUAAGAUGAUUCAAUUUCAGAUAGCAUGAGGAAAGUACAUCUCUAUGACUAUAUGUCAAUGUGCAUGUGAAGUCAUAAAUGUCAAAAAACUGUGUAACAUGAGGAAAUGCAUCUCUAUGCCAGCAUGUCAACUAUGCAUGUCAGAUGCAAUGUGUCACGAUGAUGAACUCAUGUACUCACACUCUUAGAGUACUCAAUAUCACGGUUUCACACUCCCAUUCAUCACGCUCAAUCACUCUGCACACUCAGUCACUCAGCACUAUUCAUGUCAGAUCCAGCUCAAAUGCUAAUAAAUCCUGUUGGGCACGCAGCCUGAUCCCAUCGUGAAUCAAUAACAACUGCGCUCACUGUGGGUGUGCAGACUCCAGAGGAGAAGAUCCAGCCCAAGCGCUAUAAUAAGCCAAUCAGGCAUGAAUCAAUAAAGUCUAUUGCGGCAUGCAGCCCGAUCCCAUCAUGAAUCAAUAAUACAUGUUGCGGUGUGCAGCCCGAUCCUAUCAUGAAUCAAUAAUACCUGUUGUGGCGUGCAACCCGAUCCGAUCAAUAUCACUCACAAUAUGGCUCUUAGGCCUCAACUCAGUAAUCAAUCUCUCCAGUCUCUCAGGCUCACAAUGUCAUGAAAAUCAGCCCAAAAAUGAUGAUAUGCAGUAUCAAUAAAUGACAACAGAUAUUAAGAUAUGAUAUGCAAAUGAAUGAGUAUGACUGAGUAUGUAAUUGUAAUAUAAGCAAAUAACUCAACAGCAGAAAUGAUCUCAAUGGGUAUCAACAGGAUAAGCAUAUAGCCUAAACAUGGUUUAUAACAUGGAUUACAGCUUAAUUACUCUAGCACGUAGAAAUUUCAUGAAUAGAUGCAAGAUUAGGUCACUACACAGUACCACAAAAUCAAUCGAGUCAUAAUUCACACGGUGCACGCCCACACGCUCGUCACCUAGCAUGUGCGUCACCUGAACACCAAAUACAUAUCACGUAUAUUCAGGGGUUCAUACCCUCGGCACCAAGUUUAGAAGUGUUACAUACCUCGAACAAGCCAAAUCCAAUACCGAGCAAGCCAAACAAUGCUCCAAAAAUGCCAUCACGCGCGCAUCAACCUCUGAACGACUCGAAACUAGCCAAAAGCAAUUCAAAUACAUCAAAAAUGCCUAAGGAAAUAAACAUAAUCGAUAAAGGUGGAAUCUUUAAUCAAAAGUCCAAAGUCAACCAAAAAGUCAAACUCGGGCCCGCACCUUAGAACCCGAUAAAACAUACAAGAUCCAACAACCCAUUUGAUUACGAGUCCAACCAUACUAGUUUCACUCAAAUCCAACUCCAAAUCGAUGUUCAAAACUUAAAAAAUCACUUUAUGAAAUCUUAGACAAAAACCCUCAAUAUUCUCUUUGAAAUCAUCAACCAAAUGUCAAAAACGAGGAUAGAUUCAUGAACUCAAGUCUGAAUAACCUGAAAACCAAAAUCGACGAUUCGCACAAGUCAUAAUACAUCAUAAAGCUUGUGCUUUGGUUCAGAUCACUGCUUACUUACUUGACUUGCCCCUUUUUUUAAGCAAAGAGGAAGUUGUGCAAGCAAGCAAAGUGGAAUCUAUUAGAAUAGAUGUUGCUCAAGACAUCAAAUAGCUGAACGGAAUACAAAUGCUGAAAAUAAUUGAUCGGGUUGUUACAAUUAUUAUGUUUAGAAGUGACUGAUCAAGGCACGUAAUGUCACAACACAAACUGAUGGGCCGCGACGGGCACUCGGUACUUUACUCAACCGAGUACCAACAUAACUUAUCUUUAUUAUUACAUCAUCAUAGGUAAGUGGGCCAGAAGGGGCGUCAUGAGAUAAACAGAAUAAACAUGAGGGAAUUGCCCGACAUAGAACGACCCAACCUGAUAUAAAAACCCAUAUACGUGACAUACGGGCCUAUAAGGCCAACAUGAUCAUUUAUAAACUCAAAACAUAGGCCGACAAGGCCAUACAAAUACCCGUACAUAUGACAUCUGUCUAUAAGCGUCUAAGAAUACAUAAUUGUCAUAAAGGUCAGGACAGAGCCCCGCCAUACCAAUCAAUACAUGUCCUAAUGAUACUAACCAAAUAGCAACUCCGGAGCAAAUAGAGCGCACCAAUAUAUUCUGCUGAGCUGAUAGCCUACUUGGAGGGCUCUCAACCUGUCUAUAAGGACCUACGGGCAUGAAACGCAGUGUCCCUAGGCAAAAGGGAUGUCAGUACAAAUAAUGUACCGAGUAUGUAAGGAAUGAAAAUCAGUAAACAAUAGACAUGAGAGAAACAUGGAGUAAAAGACUCAAAAUGUAUAUCUGAAUAGCUCUGUGAAUCAUUUAAUACUUAUAAUGUUAUGCAUAUAUGUAUAAAUGUCAUACCAUGCAUGGGUAUAUGCGUUCAUAACAUCAUCAAGCCUCUGAGGGUAUCUCAUCAUACCAUUUCGGCCACUGUGAGAAAAUCAUCAACGUAUACCAGUUGAUCAGGUGGUGGUGCAUAUAUAACGCCGUAACCUAUUCCUAUAUCCCAUAUAUAUAUUUAUACAUAUAUAUGCGUAUAUAACGCCAUCUGGUCAUGGGUCAAUGUACAUGUAUAAAUAAAUGCAAUGCAUGAGAAGUACAUCAAUAAAAUCUCUCGGAACGUCAUAAGACCAUUAUGUCUCUGAUUAAUAUCAUGAAAUAAACUUUAUCAACUUAUGUAUUUUUUGAGACCCAUGAACAGAUGAUAGAGUAAUAUGACACAUGGGGAAUCAAUGACAUAAGCAUCUCUAGUAUUUCUAUGAAUAGAGUCAUUUAUGGAAAUGGUGUAUUUGCUCGUUUCAUUUGUGUCGUAUAGAUAAUGCCAAAAGAAAGAAGGGAUAGCCUUAGCAUACCUGAACCGAUUCUCUGGACAAUUCCUUUAACACCAUUGAUUUCGACAACGCAUAACGACGGAUCGAAGUAGAGAAAUAUCUGUAUGAUAUUCUUGAGAAAGAUUACAUCGUACUCCCUUGUAAUUGCCAAAUCUCACGUUUUGAUAUAUGGCCCUCACGUUCCUAAGACUUAUAGUGGCUUUCCUUUGUUAAAUGUGUAUGUGAUCUCGCAUGAAUUGUUGAAGUAACUCACAUUACUAUUGUAUUAUGUGGUCUUGUAUGAAUUUCCAAAUCCCCUCCUUUCGCUCUUGGCUUUUCCUUUCUAUAUAACUCCAUUACCAAAUGAAUCUUGUUGUUAAUUGAAUAUAAGUGUAGGAAUGACUAGUAUAACUCCCUUUCUACGUGUUUGCAUGGAAUGGAUUAGGAUAUUAUCCAUGUGUCAUCUUAAUUCAAUGGUCUAAAGGCAAGAGUCACUUAGUUUGAAGGGGGAGCUGCCACUUAAUGAAAUUUAAUCCUUAUCCAAUAUAUCCCUAAUUAAUUAGGUAAUAUCCCAUUACCCAAUAAUUAACCAAUUACCCACAUAAUUAAGAAUUAUCUCAACUUACUUAAAAUACUACUCACUUUUAACACACCUUAUACACCUUACUAUCAUGACCAUGUGGUACCUUGUAUGGUAUUAGUCCAUAAAUACCGGGUAUUUUAGCUCGGGCCGUAUUUUAUCCCAAAAUGUCAAACUUCGACGAAAAUCAUUUUUCUUCAAUUUGCUUACCCUCUCACCUUCACGAAUUUACUCAUCACUUGUUCAGAAUAGCAUAAUGCUUAUAAUCUUAAAAUAAUCUCAUUCCCGAACUUACGUCGAUUAACUUACGACGAAACAUUAACGAACUAAAAAUGCGGGAUGUAAUAUCUUAUUUCCGAGCUUUCAUCAAUUUACUUAUGGUGUACUUUUACGUACGAAAAUAUGGGGUGUAACACGUAAAUGCACACUUGAGUUUGGGUUUUUGUGUCAUUGUCAUGUCACAGAAACCAUACCCAUAACCAUGAUGAUUCAUUAUUAUUUCGUACCUAAAAUCAUGCUAGCGAUAUUUACGAUUAUUCUUCCCAAGGUUUGAGGUUAUUGUGAGACCAUGGGUUAUGGAAUUUAUUUGCAAAUCAAUUGCAUGAUUCAGAUACCUUAAGAUUACUUAUGAAAGGGGAUUUCUAUGUUGUGGAUUCAGUGGUAGCUCUUGAAAUGUUCUACUCUUCCAUUUUAACAAAACUUUGAUUCAAUUACUUAAGUGCUCAAGCUAAGGAAGAAAUGAUUCAAAGAUGUUGGGGGGAGCAUUUCGUGCUUAUAGAGUUUUGAAAUUAGUCCAACCUAUUAUAAAGGCAGUCCUGAAUGACAUAGCGAAUGGAAAUCAUUAUUAUUAUAUGGCUAUCACACUACGAUUAGUAAGGAGAGCGAAAUAUUGGGCUACGAUCUCCAUGAAUUGGACAACAGAGAACAACUGAGCUUAAAUAGAGAGCCCAAUUAUGUCCAACUCUGUGUCUUUCGGAUUUAUACCCUUGCAAGGUAAGAGGUCCCCAUCAGACCUUCAAAAUUACUGGGCCACCACAAGGGCAGGGGCCUGAAGCCCAGUUAUCUCCAAACCACAAGACCUUCACACCUGCACGCUUACCCCUUUUAAAUUGGGUCGCAGGUCUAAGCGCCUCUCAUUUAGCCAAUGUUCUAUUGCCUUGCAAUUUUAACCACUUUGCAUUUAGAACUAUCAAUAAAAAAUGCACAUGAAGAGAUCUAUUAUUACAUAUAGCAACGAAUCCAUUACUUAUUAGCUUCUUUAUUGAAAAUUACUAAUUUACAUGUUACUUGUAACAAUGAGUAUCGAUUAAAUUUAUCUAUUAUAAAUAUUGCCAUUAAAUUCAAACCCCUAAACACAGGAUGCUUCAGCAUUUCAUUACGCGAGCCCCAAAUUGUAAAUCAACCGUAACGUCAGUAAUCAUCUAAAAAUCUUUGGAAUCUGACCAUGCUCUGAUUCAUGUUUUGAGUGUAGCAUAUAGGUUUCUCAAAUAUUGACCCAAUGAUCAAAUCAUAUUGAAUUAACCCUUGGGACACUCAGAAGUUCCAAACAACGAGAAAGUCACCAGGUUUUCGACAUCCAUGUGUUUCAACAUCAUUCAGCAUGAAUACAUACAUUAUAGAGUAUAUUUAAUUAGGUAUUCAUCAUGAGCACUCUAAUUUUAAACAUGAUAUACCAACAGAACGGUCAUACUCUUAUGCAGUUCAAACAUCAUAUCAUGAACCAAAGCUGAAAUUGAGAUAUACAACCUAAAAUUUUACCAGAUCAACACAUAUUGAUUAAAGAUAAAUAUGAUACACAGUUGUGAGUAUUUACCUAGUGUGCAGCUAAUGAUAGGAACAAAAGCAGUUUCAUGGAAAGGAAUGGAGCUCUACUUUAUAAAUAUAACAGCAUCAAUUAAUGCUUAAACCUCAGAUUCAGCACUCAAAUGCCCGAAAAUCAAUACUUUCAGUGUUUGAAAAAAUCCAAAAGAAGAAAAAGCCUUAAACCAGCGAUGAUUAACAGAUCUUGCUCUCCCUCAAGACAUGUUUUUCAUUCCUGAGAUCUAUAUCUUGAAAUAGAUGUCUGUUGUUUCAACCUUCUUUUUUUCUCUUUAGCUAAUUUUAUAAUUUAGUGUUGUUUCUUAGCUACAAGAACUCUAAAUUUUUAGCUGAAUACUGAUGGUAGGUUGUUCAACCUUUACCCCUAAUGAAAGGAAAUGUGGCUAUUUAUAAGAAGGCAUUAGGGUUUCCUACUUUGGUGCUCAAUUUUCUCUUCUACCCUUCUCCUUAUCGGAUCACAUAUUUUCAGACAAUGAAAUUAUACCAACCUUCACUUUCUAGCAACUUCCUCAAGAUUCUCUAUAUUGAAAUCCCUCAAAUUCCCCUUUAAUCCUUCUAACUUAUCCAUUUUCAGCUCAUUUGGUACUCUUCUUGAAGUUUCUCACUGACUUUUCCUUAGUUCUUUUCCCUUUUAUACCCUUAAUAAAUCUCUUAAUUUACCACCCCCAAUUCAAUCCCUUAUCCACAAUGAGCGGAUAGGUGAGGAUCUACGUAGGUCAUAAAACUUGGGCCAUGCCAAUAGCCCACAAUAGGCCUAUACCCUUCCAACCAAAAAGCACCCAAACCAACUCUCCAAUCUGGUAGACCCAAAUUAAUAUACAAACAAUUAAUAUACUAACUUAAUAAAUUGGAAGAGCAAUGGGAAAUUUAUGAAAGAAAAGGAAAAAAUAGAAUUAGAACACUAAUUAAUCAUGUAACUAAUCAUGAAUGCAAUUAAUCAACAAAACCGAAUCGAAAAGACUAUAUGAAAGGAAGACAUGCCAUUCGACGCGACUAAACAGACCAAAAACCACUUGCUCAAAUUAAACAUGAAUUAUCAAACGUGAAACUAAUUCUAUUAAGAUGAUCAUGCGGAGACCACAAAAGAAAAAUGAAUGAAAAAGAGAAAGAAGAAGACAAACAUAAAGGUGAAGAGAUAUACCUCUCACUACUCAAAACUGACCGGAGAAAUCAAGUUUCGGCCGGCUGGGGUCAUUGUUACAUGAUCACUGGUUUGGACUUUGCAGUCUAGCCAGUGAUAUAUGCAACAACGUCCGAUGGCCAAAAGAGUAAAAGAAGAAGAUUUUAAAGAGACAUGGCUGGUCAACGACCAAUUGACCAUCACCGGCCACUAUGAAACGACCCAAUCCCAACACUGAUAAAAAUAUCUCGGUGAAAUCACUAAAGUUUUAUAGGUUUUGUGAUUGUCGGAGCUUUAGUGAGGGGUGAAAUUGGAAAAAGGCAGAGGGGUAAGGGUUUUGCAUUCUCAGAUCUUCUAAUCGAAAUAAUUGGGAUGUUCUUUGAGGAAACUAUGGGUGAAUUGGACCUGAGACGAGGACAAAGAUUAUGGGGUUUUAACUGGGGGCUGUUUGGAGAUUUUCACUGGCGAAAAAAGGCGCUGCCUCCGGUGGAAGUGAGGCGAAGGGCGGCAAAAACGAUUUCUGGCCGCCCUAAUUUCUAAAUUGAGGUGGAGAGAUUUGGGGAUAGGCUCAAGUGUGAUAAAAAUUUGAUUUUUGAAACUCAUCUUUUAAUAAAAAGAGUCUAACACAAAAACGAUGUAGUUUGGCAAUGCUACUACGUCGUUUUGUGUUCAAGGUUAAAGGGUCUGAAA